rnacentral:rRNA from 1 species
GAACCUUACCAGGUCUUGACAUCCCGCUGACCGGACCUUAACCGGUCCUUCCCUUCGGGGCAGCGGAGACAGGUGGUGCAUGGUUGUCGUCAGCUCGUGUCGUGAGAUGUUGGGUUAAGUCCCGCAACGAGCGCAACCCUUAUUGCCAGUUGCUUCCGGGUCAUGCCGGGCACUCUGGCGAAACUGCCUCGGAUAACGAGGAGGAAGGUGGGGAUGACGUCAAGUCCUCAUGGCCUUUAUGUCCAGGGCUACACACGUGCUACAAUGGUCGAUACAAACCGUCGCAAACUCGCGAGGGUGAGCUAAUCGGAGAAAGUCGACCUCAGUUCGGAUUGGAGUCUGCAACUCGACUCCAUGAAGCUGGAAUCGCUAGUAAUCGCGGAUCAGAACGCUGCGGUGAAUA